rnacentral:rRNA from 1 species
UGGGGAAUAUUGCACAAUGGGCGCAAGCCUGAUGCAGCCAUGCCGCGUGUAUGAAGAAGGCCUUCGGGUUGUAAAGUACUUUCAGUCGGGAGGAAGGUGGUAAGGUUAAUAACCUUGGCAAUUGACGUUACCGACAGAAGAAGCACCGGCUAACUCCGUGCCAGCAGCCGCGGUAAUACGGAGGGUGCAAGCGUUAAUCGGAAUUACUGGGCGUAAAGCACACGCAGGCGGUUGAUUGAGUCAGAUGUGAAAUCCCCGGGCUUAACCCGGGAAUUGCAUCUGAUACUGGUCAGCUAGAGUCUUGUAGAGGGGGGUAGAAUUCCAUGUGUAGCGGUGAAAUGCGUAGAGAUGUGGAGGAAUACCGGUGGCGAAGGCGGCCCCCUGGACAAAGACUGACGCUCAGGUGCGAAAGCGUGGGGAGCAAACAGG